GGUGUAGCUCAGUGGUGGAGUGUGUGCUUAGCACGCACGAGGUCCUGGGCUCAAUCCCCAGUAACUCCA
rnacentral:tRNA from 1 species